rnacentral:rRNA from 1 species
GGAAGGAUCAUUAUUGAGCUUAACAAUUUAAUUUAUACUGGUUUGUGCUUAUUCUGUACGUUGUCUCUAGGAAUUAGUGCUUACUGUGAAACGGCAUUCAGUGGUUUCGAAAGGCGUUUGGAGCAGUUGUAUGUGCGUGGCUGUAAUGAUAGGCGUUUGACAUUGCUUUUUCAAAGCGAUGAGAAUUAAAGUAGCUGGCUUGGCUCGCCACUAUUUAUCCAUAUCGUUUAACGUUUGUUGUGUGUUGUUACACCGGUUGCAGGUGUAUUGAUUAUUCUAAGCAAGUCUUAUCAGUGGAUCACUUGGUUCGUAGAUCGAUGAAAAACGGGGCUAGAACCGUUAUGUAGCGUGAAUUGCAGACAUAUUGAGCGCUAAAAUUUUGAACGCAAAUGGCACUAACAGGUUUAUAUCUGUUAGUACACUUAAUUGAGGGUUGAUUAACUUGUUACUUGCAGUCAGCUGUGACUGUUUUUUCGAAUAGCUAAGUGCUUCUUGCAUUUACCUAUUUGGCAUGGCUGUUACGAUAGUACAAUGAACUUUUCUGUUCUUAUGUUUCUUGACGAAUUGUUCGCUAUCUUAUCGACUCUUUGCAAGGUAUUAGUUUUUGUUUGGCGUGUUUCUUGCCGACUGACUUAUACACUUUCCGUGUAUGUAGACUGUUUUGUCAUGUCAGUUAAAAACUUUUGCUAAUUCAACGUGUUUGUUGAUUAGUGUAGCUUUUGCUAAGAUGUUUUGUUAUCGAUUUUGCUAUUGCAACCUCAAUUUAAGUGAGAUU